CGCUAGGAUGAACGCUAGCGACAGGCUUAACACAUGCAAGUCGAGGGGCAGCACGGGAGUAGCAAUACAACUGGUGGCGACCGGCGCACGGGUGAGUAACGCGUAUGCAACCUACCUAUCAGAGGGGAAUAACCCGGCGAAAGUCGGACUAAUACCGCAUAAAACAGGGGCACCGCAUGGUGAUAUUUGUUAAAGAAAUUCGCUGAUAGAUGGGCAUGCGUUCCAUUAGGUAGUUGGUGAGGUAACGGCUCACCAAGCCGACGAUGGAUAGGGGAACUGAGAGGUUGGUCCCCCACACUGGUACUGAGACACGGACCAGACUCCUACGGGAGGCAGCAGUGAGGAAUAUUGGUCAAUGGGCGGGAGCCUGAACCAGCCAAGUCGCGUGAAAGGAAGAAGGAUCUAUGGUUCGUAAACUUCUUUUGCAGGGGAAUAAAGUGCAGGACGUGUCCUGUUUUGUAUGUACCCUGAGAAUAAGGAUCGGCUAACUCCGUGCCAGCCGCUGC
rnacentral:rRNA from 1 species